ensembl:lncRNA
AGAAGAAGAAGAAGAAGAAGAAGAAGAAGAAGAAGAAGAAGAAGAAGAAGAAGAAGAAGAAGAAGAAGAAGAAGAAGAAGAAGAAGAAGACAUGAAAUGCCUUUAAGUGGAUCAGUGAUCAGGUGUCCUCCUGCUUGUGAAAAGCCCGGGGGGAUGAGCCAUGAACCAGCCAAGUGUUUUGACCCUUGCUUUUGUCUGCCAUGAGAACCAGUUCGGUCCUGAUUCCCCCUUGGUGUUUACAUCCUGUGUGACCUAAUUUCCGGAGACUUAAGUGUCUUUAAUCCACGUCAUUAAACCAUUAAAGGGAACAGGAUAGUGUCUUGGUAAACGUAUCCAGUGUGGGAAAGGAGAAAACGAAGAAAGGAGGGAAGAAAAUAUGCAGUCAAACUUUGCAAUUCCAGCAGAGAUGCUACUUUCUGUCUGGCAGGGGGGAAGUCUGCUUUCCCUCUCUUCCCAUUCCGGAUGGAACGCCAUAAAUCUGACCAUUAAGACGAGUGGAUCCAGGAGAUGAUCCCUGGGAUACAUUCCUCCACCCGAUGUCCGAUAAAACGCUCCUGCUUUCCCAUUUCAAAGGAUAAACGAUAAAGAAGAAGAAAUGCACUGACCUCAAAAAUCGAA